rnacentral:pre_miRNA from 1 species
CAUGAUAUGCGAUUCGGAACCAUUCACUGCUGUUUUUCAAUUUUCAGUGAAUGAUAUCGAAUGGCUCAUUAUUU